GUGUCAUUUGAAAGAAGAGCAGGUUAUACUAUCCCUUGACAAGGAUGGAACGCAUUUCGUAUGGAACGAAACAUCCAUGAGUAGCCGCUAUGCUCUUGAAGCUCGCGCCCUCGAUCACGCCUUGCAGGACGUUAU
rnacentral:ncRNA from 1 species